UUCUUACAUUUGUAUCUUUAAUUUGUAACAAAGAUUUACAGACAUAUCAAAAAUAAAUAAAUCCCAUUUUUCAAUCCAGAAGUCAUUGCUCAGUAUGAGUUUUGAAACGUGUAGGAAGGAAUAUG